rnacentral:rRNA from 1 species
UACGGGGGGGGCAAGCGUUGUUCGGAAUUACUGGGCGUAAAGGGCGCGUAGGCGGCUUAUCAAGUCGGGCGUGAAAUCUCCGGGCUUAACCUGGAAAAGUCGUUCGAUACUGUUGAGCUAGAGUGUGGAAGAGGCAACUAGAAUUCCGUGUGUAGCGGUGAAAUGCGUAGAUAUACGGAGGAAUACCUGAGGCGAAGGCGGGUUGCUGGGCCAACACUGACGCUGAGGCGCGAAAGCCAGGGGAGCAAACGGG